UCAUCUGGCGUUUCACCAUGAAGAAGAAUGACAGGAGAAACAACGGAAUAGGCUAACAGACCAAAAUCUGAUAUCAUGCUGAAGCCUGGCUGGAACUAAACCGCUUGGCGGCGCUGUGCGGUGGUAGGGCAGUUUUGCAAAGCAGUGGGAACU